rnacentral:rRNA from 1 species
GAUGAACGCUGGCGGCGUGCCUAAUACAUGCAAGUCGAGCGAACAGACAAGGAGCUUGCUCCUCUGACGUUAGCGGCGGACGGGUGAGUAACACGUGGAUAACCUACCUAUAAGACUGGCAUAACUUCGGGAAACCGGAGCUAAUACCGGAUAAUAUAUUGAACCGCAUGGUUCAAUAGUGAAAGACGGUUUUGCUGUCACUUAUAGAUGGAUCCGCGCCGCAUUAGCUAGUUGGUAAGGUAACGGCUUACCAAGGCAACGAUGCGUAGCCGACCUGAGAGGGUGAUCGGCCACACUGGAACUGAGACACGGUCCAGACUCCUACGGGAGGCAGCAGUAGGGAAUCUUCCGCAAUGGGCGAAAGCCUGACGGAGCAACGCCGCGUGAGUGAUGAAGGUCUUCGGAUCGUAAAACUCUGUUAUUAGGGAAGAACAAAUGUGUAAGUAACUAUGCACGUCUUGACGGUACCUAAUCAGAAAGCCACGGCUAACUACGUG